GCAAACUUGGUCAUUUAGAGGAAGUAAAAGUCGUAACAAGGUUUCCGUAGGUGAACCUGCGGAAGGAUCAUUAAAAGUGUGCCCCGCUCUUUAGUGAGGACUACACCACCAGCUCCGUCGAUGUCUAGCCCUAACCGGGCAUAGACGCGGCGGACUAUGUGUCCACCCAUUGUGAAACUUCUAUCUUUGCUUCGGCAGCACUCUCCGCUUUGCAGAGGGGUAAGGCUGUCAGAAGCCCACAACAAACUAGUUGAUGAAAUGUCAUGCGGUCUGAUUCAUUUUUUGAGAAAUCAAAUUAUGUUAAAACUUUCAGCAACGGAUCUCUUGGUUCCCGCAUCGAUGAAGAACGCAGC
rnacentral:misc_RNA from 1 species